AGUCGCUUCUCCCUUUAUCCCGGAUUCCCGGCGGCUGUCCCAAUUUCGCGUUUUGGCAUCAUGCGAUGCCAGUUGAGGGGCUCUUGGUGGGCUCGGCCGUUGUUGGGGACGCUGGCGCUGGUGGUGCUGCCCCAGGGGUCGCUGGGUCAAUGUGCUAUCAAAGACUUGCCGAAGCUAUCGAACUCUGAGCCAGAAAAGCACAGCCUUCCACCUAUUGUUCCUUCCUCUACUGCUGUUGUAUACAUAUGCAAACCAGGCUUUGUUAAAAAGAGUCCACAGGAACCAGAUCGUGUUAUAUGUUUGCGCCGUGUCUGGAUGCUGAUCUCAGAUCCCUGUAUCCCUGCAUCAAUUCCACCAAGAACUUCAACAAAAGCAACAACUACACCAGCUUCAUCGGACACUACUGUGCUGAUUAUCCCUGCACCACCUCCAUCAGAAGCAUCUCUAGUGAUUACCCCUUCGCCACCUUCAAGAGCUGCACCAAUUUCACCAAGAACUUCAACAAAAGCAACAACUACACCAGCUUCAUCAGACACAUCUCUACUGAUUACCCUUUCACCACCUUCACCAGCUUCAACAGGCAUGUUCAUCGGCAUAUUGAUAGCUGCAAUCGUAUUAAUUAUACUGAUGCUCAUAAUUUUUUUGAUUUACAAGAAUUUCUCAACCCGGGCAAGGUCCCGUUUGACUAUAGAGGCACCUUACCGCUUACCAUGAAUGUGGGUGUAACAUUUAGCGGGUGCACCACCACCAUAUUUUGCCAGCCGUCCAUAACGUUCUGCUCGUAUUUUCAGUAACUGGAGAAUAAAGGAGGACCCCCGCCCCAGAUGGACCCACAAAUGCUGAGAAAACUUUCAAAGAGAAAUGGUUGCGCAGAGAUGCUCAAGCUCAAGCGAUGGUCGCAGCUUCUGUGAGUAAAAAUCUUCUUUAUGCUAUAUGUGACCUUGGAACCUCAAAGGAAAUGCUAAGCAAGCUAGAUUCCUUGCAUAUGAAGAAAGGGUGGGCAUACACCUUUAAUUUAAAAAAGAAAAUGCAAGACCUCCAAUAUAAAGAUGGGGACUGUUUUUCUACCUUUGUGGGAAUUUUGGAAGAUUUCUUUUUUCAAUUUAGAGAGGCAGGGGAGCUAUUUACAGAAAGUCAGAAGCUGGAAGCUCUGUUCCUAAGCAUGCCCCCCAGCUAUAGCAGUAUAAUCGGCCAAUUGGAAACCCACACCAAUCUAAGCUUUGAAAAGGCUGUGGAGAUGCUGUCCUCGGAGGCAAGCAGAAGGAAAAUUUUGAACUCACACUGUGAAAGUGAAUUGGCAAGUAACUUUGCUCUUAAAGCAACAGUUGAUCAUUCCAGCCGAAACCCAAGGUGGGGAGGGAAUGCUGCAAGAGGAAACCGCAUGGGGCCCUCACAUUUACAUACAAAGAGAUCUGGCUUUGCCGCCAAAGAAACUCAGCCCAGAGAGAGGUCACAUGACCGCCAGUAAAGAGACUGCGAAAAUGAGGCCAACCGGGAGUAAUGCCUUUAGAUGUUUUCUAUGUAACGAAUUUGGCCACAAGGUGGUGAACUGUCCUAAGAAUCAGACAAAGGAGAAUGGAAAUCAUUUCAACAAAAGCUUUAAUGUUAAUUUGAUACAAAGCGAUGAAAAGUUUAUUUUAGAUUCUGGUUCAUCUGUGCAUAUCUCAAAUGAUCUAGCUUUCUAUACUGAACUGUUUGAUAUUCCUGAAGAGACUGUUUAUUUGGGCAAUAAUACUACAAUUAAAGCCAAGAAGAAAGGCGAAGGAAUUUUGUAUUGCAAAUUGCUGGAUGGAUCUGUUAAACCAUUUUUUCUUAAAGAUGUUUUGUAUAUCCCUGACUUCUCAAGCUCCUUGAUUUCUAUAUCCAAGCUAGAGCAACAAGGCUGUGAACUGUAUAUUAAAAAUGGACAAUGUGUUGUUACCCAGAAUUGAGAAGUUUGCCUUGUAGGCUCUGAAUUCAAAGGUCUUUAUUGUGUGGAAUCUACAGACAGAGAAAGACCACAACCUGAGGCAUACAAGCCUAAUAAAGUAAACCUUGCUAAGUCAUGCCUGCAUGAAAACUGCUUGCAACUGUGGCAUAGAAGGCUAGGAUACAGGAGUCAUGAGUCAAUCCAGAACAUGAAGGAAAAGGGAUUAGCUAAUGGCAUUGAUUUUGUACCAUGUGACAUUAUAACUAACUGUGUUUGUUGUCUCGAGUUCAAAGCAGUAAACAAGCCAUUCCCAAAGCAGAGUGAAAGGAAGACCGGAAGACCCUUGGAACUGAUCCACAGCGAUAUAUCUGGACCACUACCAGCAACCAUAGGUAAUCAAAAAUAUUUUCUAACUAUAACAGAUGAUUUCUCACGAUACACGUGUGCUUUUCUACUAAAGGAGAAGUCACAAAUGCUCAAGAAAUUAAAAGGAUAUGUGGCGAUGGCAAGCAACAAAUUUGGCUGGAAGCCAAAGAUCCUGCGCACAGACAAUGGAGGAGAAUAUAUGUCCAAUGCCACACAGCAGUUCCUGAGAGAACAUGGAAUCGUGCAUCAAACCAUGGUACCUUACUGCCUGUCCCAAAAUGGAAUUUCAGAAAGAAAGAACAGAACUCUACUGGACAUGGUAAGAUGCAUGCUUGCUGACGCACACCUCCCACAGAAAUUCUGGGGAGAAGGCAUCAUGACUGCUACAUACAUACAAAACAGAAUGCACACAAAGCCUAUAGGAACAACACCAUAUGAACUUUGGCAUGGUCAUAAGCCAUCUAUGAUGCACCUGCGUGUCUUUGGAAGCACGGCUUACUCAUACAUCCCAAAGGAAAAAAGGACUAAGUUAGGGUCUAGGGCCACAAAAGGGAUUUUUGUAGGCUACUUAGCACAAUCCAAAGGCUACAGAAUUCUGGAUCCUGACACCAACAGGAUAACCAUAAGCAGAGCGGUGUAUUUUGAUGAGAAUGAAAGAGCUACACCUUCAGAGGGGGCCUACACCGAAGCAAGCAACCAGACCAAGCACCCUGAUGACUGGAUUAUGCUUCCUGAUCUCAGAGGAAUUGAGGAGGAGAAGACAGCAGAUCCAGAUCCAACCACAGUCGACACAGAGACCCCCAGCAAUCCACCAGACGCACCUGAGGUAAUGGAAGGGACCACAGAGGGUGAGGUGAGGCGAUCAACGUGCUCAAACAGAGGUGUUCCAGCUCCGAGACUGUCCUACCUCACAAGAACGGCGGAACAACCAGAACCUUCAUCAUGGGAGGAAAUAUCCCAGCUACCACAACCAGAAGUCCAGAAGUGGAAACAAGCCGCAAUUGAAGAGCUUGAGGCUCUACAGAAAACAAAACCUGGACUCUUACUAAGUUACCUCAAGGAAGGAAAGUUAUAGGCUGCAAAUGGGUUUUCAAAUUCAAACACGAUGCUAAUGGUGAGAUUCAGCGCUACAAAGCCAGAUUAGUAGCAAAAGGAUAUUCACAGAAAUAUGGAGAAGAUUAUGAUGAAACCUCUGCACCAGUGGUUAAACAUACCACAGUAAGGACUCUGUUAAGUAUUGCUGCUAGCAAAGGAAUGUAUGUUGAACACCUAGACGUUAAAACUGCAUUCUUGCAUGGUGAACUGGAAGAAGACAUCUACAUGCAACAGCCACCAGGUUUCUUAGAGAAAGACAAAGAGGACUAUGUAUGCAAACUGCAAAAGAGCAUUUACGGUUUAAAACAAGCUGCCAGAGCAUGGAAUAUAAAACUGAAUGAUAUGCUGCUUUAAGCAAACUUCAAAAGAAGCAACGCGGAUCCCUGUCUAUACACGAGAUGCAUAGAAGGCAAGUGGACUUAUAUUUUGGCGUAUGCUGAUGAUUUAAUUCUUGCCUAUGACUUGCACACUACUUGGGCAUUCAAGUACAAAGAGAGAAAGAUGGAAGUUUCCUGAUCAACCAAGAACAGAAAAUCAAAGACUUGAUAAACUUGCUCAGACUGGAAAAUGCAAAUCCUACACCAACUCCAAUGGAAGUGAACUACAUAAAGCAAGAAGAUCAAACUGAGCCACUAUCUGACAACCAUAGAUAUCGUGAAGCAUUGGGUAAGCUUUUAUACAUUAGUACACUCACUAGGCCAGAUAUUAGCACAGCAGUUGGCUUACUUUGUAGAAAGACUGCAUCACCAACAGUCAAGGACUGGAAUGCAAUUAAGAGACUUGUUAGGUACCUAAAGGGUACCGUACACUAAGCUCAAGCUGCCAGCUAAUAGUCAACCAAAACUAGAAGCAUAUGUAGAUGCAGACUGGGGUGGAGAUAUAACAGAGAGGAAAUCCACCAGCGGUUACAUAAUUUUCUAUGGAGAUGGAGCGAUAAGCUGGUCAAGCAGAAAGCAAGACACAGAAGCAUCAUCAACCACUGAAGCGGAAUAUGUAUCAGCUGCACAGGGCUGUCACGAGAUACAAUGGCUGUGUCAACUACUGAAGGACCUAGGUACAGAUGUACCACAGCCCAUACUAGUGUAUGAAGACAACCAAAGCUGCAUUCAACUCUCCAAACAAGAAGAUGUAAAGAGGAGUACCAAACAUAUUGAUAUGAAGUACCAUAUAGUGAGAAGUCUGCAGAAAGAUGGACUAAUCAAGCUGAUCUACUGCCCGACAAAUGAAAUGCUUGCAGACAUACUCACUAAGCCACUACCAAGACCCUGCUUUGAAAAGCUGAGAGAGAAAAUGAAUCUUGUGAGCUGAGUCACGAGACAUCAAGAGGGGGUGUUGGAAGUUAAAGGACUUUGCGCUGUCUCUUUGCCUCAGACAGUGGAGGACAGACUAGUAAGUCAGAGGGCUAGAGGGUCAAGACAUUUGUCAUCACUUCUCCACUGCUCUGAUGCUAUCCCUUUGAUGUGUAGAUUGCUAAUCUCAGGAACUUCCUUCCUCCUUCUCUCUCCCUUCCUACCUGGCCCGCCUACCUUGCAACAUGGCAAGCCUCUCUCCCUGCACCAUAUGUGCAGAGAGGAUGCAGAAUCCACCUGCAUCCAGCUAGAUAGAUAGAUUAGAGAUCCUAAAUCCUCACUUUCCUAUCCAGAAUGGAGUUCCUUAAUAAAUGCCUUUUAUAUUGAUUUGAAACUAUGAA